UACGAAGGGGGCUAGCGUUGCUCGGAAUCACUGGGCGUAAAGGGUGCGUAGGCGGGUCUUUAAGUCAGGGGUGAAAUCCUGGGGCUCAACUCCAGAACUGCCUUUGAUACUGAGGAUCUUGAGUUCGGGAGAGGUGAGUGGAACUGCGAGUGUAGAGGUGAAAUUCGUAGAUAUUCGCAAGAACACCAGUGGCGAAGGCGGCUCACUGGCCCGAUACUGACGCUGAGGCACGAAAGCGUGGGGAGCAAACAGG
rnacentral:rRNA from 1 species